GACGAACGCUGGCGGCGUGCCUAACACAUGCAAGUCGUGCGAGAAAGUUCCUUCGGGAGCGAGUAAAGCGGCGCACGGGUGAGUAACACGUAGGUAACCUGCCCCCCAGUCUGGAACAACUAGAGGAAACUCUAGCUAAUGCCGGAUGAGACCACGAUCCCUUCGGGGGUUGCGGCCAAAGAUGGCCUCUACUUGUAAGCUAUCGCUGAGGGAUGGGCCUGCGGGCCAUUAGCUUGUUGGUGAGGUAACGGCUCACCAAGGCUGUGAUGGCUAGCUGGUCUGAGAGGAUGACCAGCCACACUGGGACUGAGACACGGCCCAGACUCCUACGGAGGCAGCAGUGGGGAAUAUUGCGCAAUGGGCGAAAGCCUGACGCAGCGACGCCGCGUGGGUGAUGAAGGCCUCGGUCGGUUAAAGUACCCGUACGUCCGGUCCG
rnacentral:rRNA from 1 species